UGGGGAUAUUGCACAAUGGGGGAAACCCUGAUGCAGCGACGCCGCGUGGGUGAAGAAGUAUUUCGGUAUGUAAAGCCCUAUCAGCAGGGAAGAAAGAAGACGGUACCUGACUAAGAAGCCCCGGCUAACUACGUGCC
rnacentral:rRNA from 1 species